ACGAACGCUGGCGGCGUGCUUAACCCAUGCACGUCGAACGGAAAGGCCCUGCUUGCAGGGUGCUCGAGUGGCGAACGGGUGAGUAACACGUGGGUGAUCUGCCCCUUACUUUGGGAUAAGCCUGGGAAACUGGGUCUAAUACUGGAUAGGACCAUGCUGUAGGUGGUGUGGUGGAAAGAUUAGUUUCGGUAAGGGAUGAGCUCGCGGCCUAUCAGCUUGUUGGUGGGGUAAUGGCCUACCAAGGCGUCGACGGGUAGCCGGCCUGAGAGGGUGGACGGCCACAUGGGGACUGAGAUACGGCCCAGACUCCUACGGGAGGCAGCAGUGGGGAAUAUUGCACAAUGGGCGCAAGCCUGAUGCAGCGACGCCGCGUGGGGGAUGACGGCCUUCGGGUUGUAAACUCCUUGCAGCCAUGACGAAGCCCUUGUGGUGACGGUAGUGGUAGAAGAAGCACCGGCUAACUACGUG
rnacentral:rRNA from 1 species